rnacentral:rRNA from 1 species
GAUGAACGCUGGCGGCGUGCCUAAUACAUGCAAGUCGAACGCAUUGAGAGAAGUGCUUGCACUUUUCAAUUUGAGUGGCGAACGGGUGAGUAACACGUGGGCAACCUACCUGAUAGCGGGGGAUAACGAGUGGAAACAUUCGCUAAUACCGCAUAACAAUAGAGAAGGCAUCUUCUUUAUUUAAAAGGCGCUUUCAAGCGUCACUAUCAGCUGGGCCCGCGGUGCAUUAGUUAGUUGGUGGGGUGAAGGCCUACCAAGACGAUGAUGCAUAGCAGAGUUGAGAGACUGAUCGGCCACAUUGGGACUGAGACACGGCCCAAACCCCUACGGGAGGCUGCAGUAGGGAAUCUUCCACAAUGGACGAAAGUCUGAUGGAGCAACGCCGCGUGUGUGAUGAAGGCUUUCGGGUCGUAAAGCACUGUUGUAUGGGAAGAAAUGCUAGGCUAGGAAAUGAGCUUAGUUUGACGGUACCAUACCAGAAAGGGACGGCUAAAUACGUGCCAGCCGCCGCGGUAA